UGUAAAAGGCUGGAUCGCGGAUAGGGAGCGCGAGCGUGAAGAAACCGGCCGCCAUCUUACUGUACCCACAACAGUCGCCGCAGCGAUCAUGGCAACUUCUUGCAAUUACGGUCGUACCAACCGUACUGGCAAGGUUACAGGGCCUAAAUUUAUACAGGUUUCGUCAUGAGGGCUACCCAGUGAAUAAUCUGUGCAGUGUGAUACGGCUGGGUGUACAGGUUACUUCACGGCUGCCUCGACAUACUCAAGAAAUGGGUGCAGAACCUGCGUAAUGCCCACAAACUUUGACUACCACAGCACCUCCAGAAAGUAAAGGCAUAUGUGUCACAUGGGAUUUUUAAAGGCAUUCACAGUAUAUAAUACCUUGUAUGAACUGUUGUAGAGCCUCUACAGUACACUCUCAGAAAUUAAAACUUGUCAGGGAACUGUGAUAAUUGUUUCAGUUAAUAGGCAUGUACAUAUACGCUAUAAGAAGAAA